rnacentral:rRNA from 1 species
UAGUCCACGCCGUAAACGAUGAGAACUAAGUGUUGGAGAAAUUCAGUGCUGCAGUUAACGCAAUAAGUUCUCCGCCUGGGGAGUAUGCACGCAAGUGUGAAACUCAAAGGAAUUGACGGGGGCCCGCACAAGCGGUGGAGUAUGUGGUUUAAUUCGAAGCAACGCGAAGAACCUUACCAGGCCUUGACAUGAGGAUAAAGGCCCCAGAGAUGGGGAGAUAGCUAUAUCCUACAC